UACGGGGGGGGCAAGCGUUGUUCGGAAUUACUGGGCGUAAAGGGCUCGUAGGUGGCCAACUAAGUCGGACGUGAAAUCCCUCGGCUUAACCGGGGAACUGCGUCUGAUACUGGAUGGCUUGAGUUCGGGAGAGGGAUGCGGAAUUCCAGGUGUAGCGGUGAAAUGCGUAGAUAUCUGGAGGAAUACCGGUGGCGAAGGCGGCAUCCUGGACCGGCAUUGACGCUGAGGAGCGAAAGCUAGGGGAGCAAACGGG
rnacentral:rRNA from 1 species